CAUGUACAACGACACAACAUUAAAAUUGUACACAUACCGAAACGGACUAUGCAUUAGACAAAAUCAGAUGAGAAUAACAAAUUUAACAAAAAUAACAUCAAAACCAAAUACAUGAAUUUGGGAUAGAAAAGUACCGUGACACGCCUUAUAGUAAUGUACAUUUACAUUCAAAUAUAAGAGAAAACAAUCGACACAAAGGAAACACAACGUUGAAAUGUAACACAAACAUAAACGAACUAUAAUAUAACAAUGGCC
rnacentral:lncRNA from 1 species